rnacentral:rRNA from 1 species
GAUGAACGCUGGCGGCGUGCCUAAUACAUGCAAGUCGAGCGAAAGGACGAGAAGUUUGCUUCUCUGAUGUUAGCGGAGGACGGGUGUGUCACACGUGGAUACCCUACCUAUCAGUCUGGGAUAAUUUCGGGAAACGGGCGAUAAUACCGGAUGAUAUUUUGAAGCGCAUGGGUCAAAAGUGAAAGACGGUCUUGCUGUCACUUAUCGAUGGAUACGAGCUGCAUUAGCUAGUUGGUAAGGUAACGGCUUACCACGGCUAGGAUGCAUAUCCGAGCUGCGAGGGUGAUCGGCCACACUGGAACUUAGACACGGACCAGACUCCUACGGGAGGCAGCAGUAGGGAAUCUUCCGCAGUGGUCGAGAACCUUACGGAGCAACGCCGCGUGUGUGAUGGAGGUCUUCGGAUCGUAAAGCUCGGCUAUUAGUUAUGAACAUAUGUGCAAUGAGCUGAGCACAGCUUGACGGUACCGAGUCAGAAAGCCACGGCUAACUACGUG